AGAGUUUGAUCCUGGCUCAGAACGUACGCUGGCGGCACGCCUAACACAUGCAAGUCGAACGAAGUAGCAAUACUUAGUGGCAGACGGGUGAGUAACAUGUAGGUAUCUUCCCUUUGGCCUGGAAUAACACGAGGAAACUUGUGCUAAUACCGGAUAAGUCUUUACGGAGAAAGCUUUAUGCACCAUUGGAUGAGCCUGCACUUGAUUAGUUUGUUGGUGGGGUAAUGGCCUACCAAGACUGUGAUCAAUAGCUGAUUUGAGAGGAUGAUCAGCCACAUUGGGACUGAGACACGGCCCAAACUCCUACGGGAGGCAGCAGUGGGGAAUCUUGCACAAUGGAGGAAACUCUGAUGCAGCGAUGCCGCGUGAGUGAAGAAGGCCCUUGGGUUGUAAAGCUCUUUCGUCGGGGAAGAAAAUGACGGUACCCGAAUAAGAAGGUCCGGCUAACUUCGUGCCAGCAGCCGCGGUAAUACGAAGGGACCUAGCGUAGUUCGGAAUUACUGGGCUUAAAGAGUUCGUAGGUGGUUGAAAAAGUUGGUGGUGAAAUCCCAGAGCUUAACUCUGGAACUGCCAUCAAAACUUUUCAGCUAGAGUUUGAUAGAGGAAAGCAGAAUUUCUAGUGUAGAGGUGAAAUUCGUAGAUAUUAGAAAGAAUACCAAUUGCGAAGGCAGCUUUCUGGAUCAUUACUGACACUGAGGAACGAAAGCAUGGGUAGCGAAGAGGAUUAGAUACCCUCGUAGUCCAUGCCGUAAACGAUGUGUGUUAGACGUUGGAAAUUUAUUUUCAGUGUCGCAGCGAAAGCGAUAAACACACCGCCUGGGGAGUACGACCGCAAGGUUAAAACUCAAAUGAAUUGACGGGGACCCGCACAAGUAGUGGAGCAUGUGGUUUAAUUCGAAGAUACGCGCAGAACCUUACCAACACUUGACAUGUUCGUCGCGACUUUAAGAGAUUGAAGUUUUCGGUUCGGCCGGACGAAACACAGGUGCUGCAUGGCUGUCGUCAGCUCGUGUCGUGAGAUGUUGGGUUAAGUCCCGCAACGAGCGCAACCCUCACUUUUAGUUGCCAUCAUUAAGUUGGGCACUCUGAAAGAACUGCCAGUGAUAAGCUGGAGGAAGGUGGGGAUGACGUCAAGUCCUCAUGGCCCUUACGUGUUGGGCUACACACGUGCUACAAUGGUAUCUACAACAGGAAGCGAAACAGCGAUGUUAAGCAAAUCCUUAAAAAAUACCUCAGUUCGGAUUGCACUCUGCAACUCGAGUGCAUGAAGCUGGAAUUACUAGUAAUCGUGGAUCAGCGUGCCACGGUGAAUGCGUUCCCGGGUCUUGUACACACCGCCCGUCACACCAUGGGAGUUGGUUCUACCUUAAGGCAAGGUUUUAAACCCUUGACCACGGUAUAGUCAGCGACUGGGGUGAAGUCAUAACAAGGUAACCGUA
rnacentral:rRNA from 1 species